GUCCUUGAUGCCUCGUUCCCGCACUCCCGUUUGCCUGACUUCUUCUCUCUGUGUACCGACCCACGCCUGUCCACUGACCACCCUUUCGUGCAUUUGGGUCCACCCUCGAGCCCCGUUCAUGACAGUACCCUGUGUUUAAGAAGAACAGAAAGUGACGUGCUGGGAAAGUUCGAGAAGGAGAGAGAGACAGAAGUGCGAGGGACUUGAGCCGACAAGUGGUCUAAUUUCACACCAACUUUCAUCUUGAUCUGAUCCAGAUCGCAGGAAAUUCAAAACAAAGUCUUAUUUCACAUGUGACAAAACGUUUAAGGCAUCCAGCUGAACUGUGAACGACUCCAUUCCACUCACACCCCUGAAAACAUCGAGGCUGUGGGGAGUGAGUCGGCGAGCAAUUAACUGAGCGCAGUAAGCAGCCCCGAUUGGUUUCAAGUGUGCAGCGGCCCUGGAGCGAAGGCAUUCAAAUGAGCCGAGCCAGCGCGAUGGAAGAAUUUAGACAAGAUGCGGCUUCAGAAACAACGCCGCACAAAGGAGGACAAACAUGAAAGCACUGAAGAUAAUAGGGCUAAAAGAGGACAAGAGGAAUGAGAGAAAGAUGACAGAAGAGGACAAGAUGGCGGAGAUUUGAAGUUACAAUGACCAACUGGUGAGGAUGUUCGGCUCAAAUUUUAGCAUUGGGAACCGUCCACGCAGGAACAACUGGAAUAUUCAUUUGAUGCAGGUUUUGUUUCCUCUGCCAGGGAUAUCAAAAGUCUACAGUGUAGACACGAGGAAUAGACUCAGCACAACAGGAAAUGUGACAUGAUAGAACAGGAAAAGUGAGAGCGGUAAAGAAACAAAGACUGAAAGAAAGCGGGGAACUAAAUAAAAUUAGACUGACAAGACAACGAGGCACACCUGGAAGAGACACAAGUGGCUGGAGGGAUCCCACUGGAAGAUGCAUGGAAAGAAGGCAUUAAAGAAACAGGCGGAGACGAAGGACUAACGAGAAGGCAAGGAAUAAAAUAAGUGCACAUGAGGAUAUGACAAAACAGGAAGCAAAAUUUGAUGUGAUUUCUAAAAAGUUUUGAAAGAAGUGGUCUACAGAGAGCUUCCAAGGUGUUCAAAGUAUAUUCAAAGUAUCAGUAAGAAGAGUACAGUAUAUACUGUAACUUGAAACAAAGCAAAAAAAAAAUCAGAAAAUCCUGAAAGCCUGGCUGAACCACUAAAUGGUGUUGUCUGGUUAGAGCUUUCGCUUUACAGUUCUGAGAACCGGGGUUGAAAUCCCGGCCCAGUCUGUGUGGAGUUUACAUGUUUUCCCCGUGUCUGUGUGGGUUUUCUCUGGGCACUCCAGUUUCCUCCCACAUCCCAAAAACAUGAAAUAUUAAUUGGACAUUCUAAUUUGCCCCGAGGUGUGAUUGUGAGUGUGGCUUUUGUCUAUGUGCCCUG